rnacentral:rRNA from 1 species
CACGUAGUUAGCCGGCGCUUCAUACCCGGCUACCGUCAACCCCGCCGCAACGGACAGGGCCUUCACCACCGGAGAAAGAGGUUCACAACCCGAAGGCCUCCAUCCCUCACGCGACGUCGCUGCAUCAGGCUUCCGCCCAUUGUGCAAUACCCCCCACUGCUGCCCUCCCGCAGGAGUCUGGGCCGUGUCUCACGUCCCAGUGUGGCCCGCCCACCCUCUCAGGCCGGCCUACCCGUCACCGCCUUGGUGGGCCAUCACCCCACCAACAAGCUGAUAGGCCGCGAGCCCAUCCCCCACCGAAACACCCGAAGAUGAAACUAUCCCGACCAGGCCCAUGCGGACCAGCCGGCACACCCCGUAUUAGCCGCCCUUUCAAGCAGUUAUCCAGGAGCAGGGGCAGGUUACUCACGUGAUACUCACCCGUUCGCCACUCAACCCACCCCCAAAGGGGCGGCCCGUUCGACUUGCAUGUGUUAAGCACGCCGCCAGCGUUCGUCCUGAGCCAGGAUCAAACCUCU